AUACAUGCAGUCGAACGAACUUCCGUUAAUUGAUUAUGACGUACUUGUACUGAUUGAGAUUUUAACACGAAGUGAGUGGCGAACGGGUGAGUAACACGUGGGUAACCUGCCCAGAAGUAGGGGAUAACACCUGGAAACAGAUGCUAAUACCGUAUAACAGAGAAAACCGCAUGGUUUUCUUUUAAAAGAUGGCUCUGCUAUCACUUCUGGAUGGACCCGCGGCGUAUUAGCUAGUUGGUGAGGUAAAGGCUCACCAAGGCAGUGAUACGUAGCCGACCUGAGAGGGUAAUCGGCCACAUUGGGACUGAGACACGGCCCAGACUCCUACGGGAGGCAGCAGUAGGGAAUCUUCCACAAUGGACGCAAGUCUGAUGGAGCAACGCCGCGUGAGUGAAGAAGGGUUUCGGCUCGUAAAGCUCUGUUGUUAAAGAAGAACGUGGGUAAGAGUAACUGUUUACCCAGUGACGGUAUUUAACCAGAAAGCCACGGCUAACUACGUGCCAGCAGCCGCGGUAAUACGUAGGUGGCAAGCGUUAUCCGGAUUUAUUGGGCGUAAAGCGAGCGCAGGCGGUCUUUUAAGUCUAAUGUGAAAGCCUUCGGCUCAACCGAAGAAGUGCAUUGGAAACUGGGAGACUUGAGUGCAGAAGAGGACAGUGGAACUCCAUGUGUAGCGGUGAAAUGCGUAGAUAUAUGGAAGAACACCAGUGGCGAAGGCGGCUGUCUGGUCUGCAACUGACGCUGAGGCUCGAAAGCAUGGGUAGCGAACAGGAUUAGAUACCCUGGUAGUCCAUGCCGUAAACGAUGAUUACUAAGUGUUGGGAGGGUUUCCGCCCUUCAGUGCUGCAGCUAACGCAUUAAGUAAUCCGCCUGGGGAGUACGACCGCAAGGUUGAACUCAAAAGAAUUGACGGGGGCCG
rnacentral:rRNA from 1 species